AUACAGAGGGUGCGAGCGUUAAUCGGAAUUACUGGGCGUAAAGCGCGCGUAGGCGGUUUGUUAAGUCGGAUGUGAAAUCCCCGGGCUCAACCUGGGAACUGCAUUCGAAACUGGCAGGCUAGAGUAUAGUAGAGGCAAGUGGAAUUCCGGGUGUAGCGGUGAAAUGCGUAGAUAUCCGGAGGAACAUCAGUGGCGAAGGCGACUUGCUGGACUAAUACUGACGCUGAGGAGCGAAAGCGUGGGGAGCAAACGGGAUUAGAAACCCCGGUAGUCC
rnacentral:rRNA from 1 species